GGUCAAGUGAAGAAGCGCAUAC
rnacentral:rRNA from 2 species